GUCUAUGUUUGAAGACAUAAGACAACUACUGUCUGUUUGUCAAAAUAAACGGAUCAUUUUAUAUUGUGAAAACCGGUACUGGACUUGAAUUGUCUCGCAAUUACAACGCAGUUACUCAUAAAUUAUUUGCUUAGUUAAAUUAUUAAAAAAAAACGGAUUAAUUUUCUCACGUUACCGAUUUUUUGGCGAUUGUAAGUUCAGACUAAUAUAUUUUACAACGAUUGUACAACAAGUUCUUACAUUAUAUUAAACAAUUUCGUUGGCUCGAUUUCACGCGAGAGUGCGGUCUUGUGUUCUUUCAAAAUUGUAAAUCAGCUACAAACGAACAGAAAAUACUUGGAAUUUUAUGAAAUAUUAGAUGGUUAAGUGAACAACAGACUUCUACAGGACGGAUUUAUUGAAAGGAUAGAUAUCAAUUAUUAAAGUGGAACUGGUGAUUACAAAAUGACGGGCCUAUUUGAAGGUGAAACAAUGCUCCUAAUAUAUAUACGGGAACGGAUCUAGGAUUUGACGUUAAAGGAGGACGGGGCGUAACUUAGAGGCCGCGGUUGCGCGCGAGGUCCCGGACCUGCUAUGGCUUAUCAGCAUAACGGUCUGACCGCAAGCGUGAAUGCCGUGACUAGGUGUCGCUCCAUGUCGGUGCAUACAAACUCAACAAGGAAGGCAAGGUCAAAGACAGAAAAAACCCUGACGUGUACCUUGAGAUAUCCCGCAGUAUUGACAAUGUGACGUUCCAUCCAAUCUACCGCACGGAGAAGGACAAGAAGACACAACAACCCAGAUGGCGUCCUUUCGAACUUGGGGAGCAGCAUGUGUAAUGGAGGUUGGGAUCGCCACCUUGAAGUGUGGCUCCACAGACUGGCAACUCGUUGGUAAACUAUAAAAAGCCGGAAUGGAUGACUCGCUGAGACUAUACGCACUUCUCAGGUUGGCCAACGGAUAUGUUACCGAUUCUUGCAUACCGGACGUGUGUAUGUCAUGUGACCAGUGCUGGAAAAACCCGUCUUACAACCCCAAUAAAAUCGAUCAAGCAUUUCAGCGGCCUAGCGGCGUGAAGUUAUAUAGCGGCCUAGCGGCCCCAAACGGUUUCCUUUCCUCAACAACAGCUCUGCCUUUCCGCGAUAAAGACGUGAAGUUAUCAUUUUCGUUCCAAAAUCGUGUCCAUGGUGAUUUAUACUUCUGUCAAUUGGGGAUCUCACAUGAAUGCUGUCGCACUGAUCCAGAGUAUCAGCUGUGUGAGCGAGAGGAUGAAAUUGUCGAGUGGAAGAUGAAGCAUGGCUAGCUUGCAGAGAAGUACGCUCGCUUCAAGGAGAAGGUGGACGGCAUGGAGCGUUACCUCGCCGACCUGCCCACGCUCGAAGAGUUUACCAAGAAUGCAGAAGAUAUAUUCUUUAUACACAGUGAAUGGGAAUAGAAAUGUUAAUGAAGUUUAAGGGGAUUGGGAGAUGUUUGUGUUAUUAGUUAGGUAUUAUUAGGGUUUGUUUUGGAUAACCUAAUAAUUUAACACCCUUGAGGAGUUCAUGAAGCACGUGGGGGAAUGAGUUCCUUUGUUGUGUUGGGCUGGUGUCAAUAAAAAUAUGAGCUAGUCUGUGCCAUUGAUAUCUACUAAACUGUUCACUCUGUAUUUGCUAGCCUGCUUGAUAUAAGCAUUAGAGUUAUACUGUGCCGUAGAUAUCUGCUAGACAGUCUAGACUUAAUACAACUGUGCCAUCAGAAACAGCUUAACUGUGCCCUAGAUAUGGUCUAAAUGCUUUAAUUUUCAUACAUUCUACUCAUACCUGGAUCCACACCUACACAUACAUAAGAGUUCUGCAUCCUCAAUGUCACAAAAAUAAGUUCUUGUAUUCAUUCAACUGUAGAACUCUAUGAACUGACAGCAUUUAUAUCACGGAUAUGUUUUUUUUUCUUUUGUGUUUUUUUUCAGACAAGCAGAAGCACCUGGCAGGCAAAAUGCGUGAAGUGAGCGCAGAGAUCUAUCGCAUGAAGACUCACGGGGAGGGGAAGGCCCUUGCUCUGUGUCAGGAGGAGCUUGCAGAGACACGAGAGGUCAAUGACAAGGUCACACGAGACCUUGGGAAGGCAAAAAAGGAAAAAGGUGAAGUAACUUUUUAGCAAGUUUAUUAAAUAUUGGUGCUAAAGUGGACAAUACAAACGGUCUUUAUGAUCAAAGUUGUACAUACCUGGACGACAUCCAUAGACUCUUCUGUACGGGCGUUAACAGUACACGUGGCGCACGUGAAUUCUAGCUCGGCACCAACAAGGUUCGAGAUGUCAUACUGGACAAUUGUUAUAACCGUACAAAAUCGUAGAUGCUUCCAACGUUCAGAAAUGUUGCAUUCCACGGCGCGGUGGUUGGAAUAAACACCUCUAGAACAGUGGGAUAUAACGAGCACAAGGCAUUGUAAUAGAUCUUUUUCAGUUUAAUCGCUGAUAUGGUACAUUAUAAAGUUAAAAUAACCUGUGAGUACAAUUAUAAUUCAUGGUCCGAAAUGCGGUACGUUAUAAAGUUAAAACAAACCGUGUGUAAAACAAUAAAUCAUGGUCCGUUCUGUCUCCAAAUAUGGUACGUUACAAAGUUUAAACAAACUGUAUGUUACGCAAUCAAUACGUGAGUAAACUAAUUAUUCACUUAUCUCAAAAUACAACAACACAAACAGUUUAGGAAUUGGCAACGUAUUUGGAGAACAUGUACACAGGAAAAGGCAUAAUUCAGAAGCUGGAAGAUUGGUUAUAGCGUCUGAGCACAUCUGGAUCGUAACCUUGGUCAAUCGUGGCCACAUCCGUCCUUAGAGUCAGCAACAUCAAUAACGACUGGUAUCUUAGAAAACAUCAUGCAACAACUGAAACGAAACUAAACAUACGGUCUUGAGAAUUAUAUCAGUAGAGGGAAUUUCGACCAAAACGAGUUUCAGUAACAUCUUGUCGAAUUCUUAGAGCUAUUUCAGUGAUGGUACGUGGCCGAGCGAACAUGAAGUCACACAUAAAUCUAUUUGUCGUACAAUGUGAAAAUUGUUGCCAAUUGCAAACUUUAUUCCUAGUAUUGUCUUGUUGUUUUAUGCUGGUGUCAAAACAAUUUUGAUAAGUGAAUAAUUGUUUUAUUCACAAUUACCAACGUGAGUAAAAUCUAUUUAUCUUUGCCGGAGCAAGAAAAUGCCGGGCCCAUAGGGUCAAAGAGAAGGAUAGAAAUAAUGCAGUACUAUCGUCAAGUUCGUUUAGUAUAAAGAUAAGCAUGUUAUUUUUAACAAGGACAGAUCUACGUUUGGGUUAUUGUAUAUACAUGUAUUAGCCUUUUUACAAGGUAAUAAUAUGGUUGACGUUAUUGUUUAUGUGUGCCUUUACACAUGAUUAUUGUACAUUUAGGGCUAUUGUUUAUGUGUGUCUUUAUCCAAGAUCAUAGCUGGCUUAGGGCUAUUGUUUAUGUGGGUCUUUAUCCAAGAUAAUAGCUGGCUUUGGGCUAUUGUUUAUGUGUGUCUUUAUCCAAGAUCAUAGUUGGCUUUGGGCUAUUGUUUAUGUGUGCCUUUAUGCCCUAUCAUAUUUAGUUUUAGGCUAUUGUUUUUGUGUCCAUUUUUACAGGAUUGUAGUCGGUUUAGGGCGAUUGUUUAUGUGUACAUUUAUACAAGAUAAAGGAAAGUUUAUGUAAGCCUAUAUACAGGAUCAUAGUAGGUUUUUGCCGAUUGUUUAUAUUUAUAUUUAUAUCAGAUAAAACUAGUUUUUGGGCUAUUGUAUAUGUUAGCUUUUAUACAGGAUCCUUAUAGGUUUGUGGUGAUUGUUUAUAGGUGCCUUCAUACAAAUUAAAAGUAUAUUCUAUUUAUUGCUUAUGUGUUAUUUUAUGCAAGAUAAUAGUCGAUUUGGGAUUAUUGUUUCUGCUUGUCUUUAUACAAAAUAUAAGUAGGUGUGGUGAUAUCGUUUGUAGGUGCCUUUAUACAAGAUCAUAUGUUGAUUUCUAGCAAUUUUUAUUUAUACCUUCAAACACGAUAAUUUAAGGCUCUUGUUUAUGUGUGUUUUUAUACACGAUAAUAGUUGGUUUGACGCCUUUAUACACGGUCGUGGUAGAUUUGGGGUUAUUGUUGAUGUCUGCAUUCAUACAAGAAUACAGAAGUGUUAGGGCUAUUGUUUUAUGUGCCUUUAUACAAGAUAAAAGUAGCUUAGGGAUAUUGCUUAUGUGUGCCUUAAAAACUAUUUAUACAAUAUCAUAAUUAGUUUAACGGUUAUUGCUUAUGUGUCUAUUUCUACAAGAGGGUUGUAGGUUUGGGAAAAUUGUUUAUAUGUGACUUUAUUUUAGAUCAUAACAUGUUUGGGGAUACUAUUUACGAGUGAAUUUGUACAAGUCAAGGAAGGUUUAGGGCUGCUCUUUAUGUGUGACUUUAUACAAGGUAAAAGUAGAUUUUAAACACGAGCAAAGUUGGUCUUGGGCUAUUGUUUAUUUAUGUCUUUAUGUAGGAUUUUAGUAUGUUUGGGUUAAUUGUGUAGGUGUGCCUUAAUACAAUAUCAUAGCAGGGUUAAGGAUAUUGUAUAUGUUUGCAUUUGUACAAGAUGAAAUAACCAUACGGGCUAUUUCUUUUGUGUGCCUUUAAACAAGAUCAUAGGUGGUUUGAUAAUAUUGUUUAUGUGUGGUUUAAUACAAGAUCAUAGUUAGAUUUGGGCUAUUGUUCAUAUGUGCCUUUAAAUACGCUCAAUGAAUGUUUGGAAUUGUUGUUUAUGUUUGCAAGAUAAAAGUAGGUUUGGAAUUUGUGUGGCAUAAUACAAGAUAACAAUAGGUUUUAGGCUAUAGGUUUAUGUGUGACUUUAUACAUAAUAAAUGUAGGUUUGGGGUUAUUGUUUUGUGUUAGACUUAAUAUAAGGUAAAAGGUUUCAUGCUUUUAUGUUUAUGUGUGCUUUUGCACAACAUAGCGUAGGUUUUGGGUUAUUGUUUAUGAUUGCAUUUAUUCACGGUAAAAUGUUUGGGGAUUUUUUUAUGCCUCUAUACAAGAUAAAAGCAGGUUCGGGGCUUUUAUUUAUGUGUGCCUUCAUACAAAAUAAAAAUACGGUUAGGUCUAUUGUUUUUGUGCACUUUUUAUACAAAAAAUAGUAGGUUUGGGGCUUCUGUUUAUGUUUGCCUUUAUUCAAAGGUAUAGUUAGUAAAUGGCUGUUGUAUGUGUGCGCUUUUAUACUAGAUAAUAGUCGGUUAAGGGCUAUUGUUUAUUAGAGUAUAUCAGGAUUGUUGAUAUUGUUUAUAUGUGCAUCUAUACAGGAUAAUACAAGUUUUAGGGAUAUUGUAUAUGAGUGCCUUUAUACAAGAUAAAAGUUGGUUUAGGAAUAUGAUUGAUGUGUGCAUGUAAACAGUUUUAUAGUAUGCUUGGUGCUAUGUUUAUAUUUAUACAAGACAAAAAUAUGUUUGAGCCUUUUGUUUUUGAGAGCUUUUAUACAGGA